rnacentral:rRNA from 1 species
CCUACGGGCGGCAGCAGUGGGGAAUAUUGGACAAUGGGCGAAAGCCUGAUCCAGCCAUGCCGCGUGUGUGAAGAAGGCCUUCGGGUUGUAAAGCACUUUCAGUGGGGAAGAAAGCCUUGGGGCUAAUACCCUCGAGGAAGGACAUCACCCACAGAAGAAGCACCGGCUAACUCCGUGCCAGCGGCCGCGGUAAUACGGAGGGUGCGAGCGUUAAUCGGAAUUACUGGGCGUAAAGCGCGCGUAGGCGGUCUGAUAAGCCGGUUGUGAAAGCCCCGGGCUCAACCUGGGAACGGCAUCCGGAACUGUCAGGCUAGAGUGCAGGAGAGGAAGGUAGAAUUCCCGGUGUAGCGGUGAAAUGCGUAGAGAUCGGGAGGAAUACCAGUGGCGAAGGCGGCCUUCUGGACUGACACUGACGCUGAGGUGCGAAAGCGUGGGUAGCAAACAGGAUUAGAUACCCGUGUAGUC